UUUCAAUCGCAUCUUCCCUAAUUCUUUUUCAAUGGCUUCCAUCCCAAAGUUGUACACUAAUUGUGCAUUUCCCAAUAGCUUUUCUCAGUUUCCAAAUCCACAGACAGUUCCCCAAGAAAACUAUACGGUUGGAGGUGGUGGUGCAAUAAUUCCCGGUGCAACAUGGGGCGAAGAAAUUAGCUUUCCGAUGCUUUUAGACAACGGCGGGAUCGAUGUUUUUCAACAAAUUUCUAAUCUAACGGCUGCAGUCCCAGCAGCAUUGUUUCCGUAGCUAAGCGGGACAUCUUCGGACUUCGAUGUCCCGACAGCUUUGCCUCAUCACAGUAGCGUUUCACAAGGCUUCUGUGCCAUUAAUGGAACCAUCCCAAAUUUUGUUGCCAGAUAUCAAUUACAAGAUGACUAUGAGUUUGGAGAAGAAUGCACUGGAUUUGUUCAUCAGGAUUUCAAGCCAGUUGAUCCAAGACAAAACUGGGGAAUUCAAGGAAAUCAAAUUUGGCGGGCCAUGGAAGACAGCAAUCUUAAGGUCGGUCGGUAUUCGGUAGAAGAGAGGAAAGACAGAAUUCUUAGAUACUUGAAGAAGAGAAACCAAAGGAACUUUAACAAGACUAUUAAGUAUGCUUGCAGGAAAACCCUAGCUGAUAGAAGAGUUAGAGUGAGGGGAAGAUUUGCAAGGAACACUCAACUUUGCGAAGAUCAAGAAACGGUAUUCAAAAAGGAAGCCGAUAAUUCAUC